UUACGGUCAAAUCACACUGAAACACCGGUUCUCGUUUGAUCACCGAAGUUAAGCAUCGUAGAGCCAGGUCAGUACUUAGAUGGGGGACCGCUUGGAAACACCUGGUACUGUAA
rnacentral:rRNA from 1 species